AUGACGUACUGAGAGAGCGGAGUAGAGAAGUGAGGAGGAAAGGAAGGAGAGAGGGAGGUGGAGGGCAAGGAUGUUUAACAGAAGGAAAUGUACUCUUGCAAAACACACGCACCCUCCGUCAGCCUAGAGGAUUUAAAGAAAAUAACUGAGGGAGGGAGGAAGAGAAAGGAAGGGAGGGAGGUAGGGGAGAUGUAUGACUGCUCCCAUUGCUUACUUGCUGUUGAACUCCGCUGAUGUGGACAGUCUCCCCAGAAAGCCUCAGCAGCCCCUAGCUAGCAGGAUGUCACAGAGAAAGAGGAGCUUCACUUUCGGAGCAUAUGGAGGUGUCGACAAGACCUUUUCAAGGACCAGAAGUCUAUGGAAAGAGGAUGGAAGGAUUCCUCGUAUCUCUAACACACUAGAGCCCUCGCUGUCGCACUCCCACCCUUCGUAUCGCACUCGCUCGUUAUCAAAGGUAAGAGGGGGGUCCAAACCGCCCACUGCACCCACCCUGUCAGCUCUUCUAUUCAGCCAUGACUUCUUACCUCUCUUCACAAGCCUCUCUCUUACCUGUCUCUUUCUCUCCUGUUUUCUAUUCAUCCCCACUCCUCUCUGUGUUGUGUUCCCUUGUGCUGCUCUGUGUGCAGGUGAAAGGUGUCACCAAUCAGAUCGCUCCAGAUCCAGUCUCAUGGACAGUCUGCUCUGA
rnacentral:lncRNA from 8 species